rnacentral:lncRNA from 1 species
CGGAUGUCAUGACAUGUUGAAUAAUACAUGAAUUGAAAACACAUGAAUAUGUGAGAAAGGUUGUUUGGCCGAGCUACAAAAAAACAUAAAAAAUCAAGGGUAUGCCAUAGUUGUUAAUAAACCAUUCCCAUGAGGUUGAGUUCAAUGGAUAUUUCCUUAUGGAUUUCAUACAAAGUAGGCGGUAAGGCAAAACUGUGAAGAAUAGAUAGAAUCUUAUAAUGAAAUUAAUUUCUCUCGAUCAACUAUUGAUGGGAGGGUGAUCGAGUAGUGACACCCACAUGGCUUGAUCAUGGGUUCUCAUUCCCCCUUCCGUUCUCUAUCCUCUCGUAUUUCUUUAAGAGUCGCUCCUCCUCCCCCAAAUCAUCUUAUUUCCCUCUCCGGUGGCUUUGUCCGGCCGGAGUGGGGAUGGGAGAGGAGGUCGGACCUCUGUGCGGAGUAGAUCUAGUAGUGGACUAGCCCAUAGGGCGACUGACACUAUCCCGUUAGGAUUCGGUGUUAUGCCGUGGAGGUUGGCUCUGGUGCUCGCGAGCAGCGCCAUCACCUCACCCUCUUCUUCUUUUCAGCUGUUUUCAUGGUCGACGACAAUGGGAGAGGGAAGAUCUUGCGAAAUCUCCAUCAAUAAGCUCGGCAGUUUGCUAGAGUGGGUCGAUCUGGUUUCCCUCACCCCUGUUUCUUGCCUUCAUGGUGGCGGAGGAAGAGAAGAGAGAGAGGAUCCGUGAUUUGGUUUCUCACAUCUGGCAUUCAUCAGGGAUUGCUGUUGGCUUUGGUGCUUCUUCGCUAUCUUUUAUCGCCGCCUCGACCUCCGCAGACCGGAGCCGCAGAUCAACUUGAAGAUAAUCCAGGCGAGCGAUUUAGGUGGCUUGGGUGGUUUGCCGACCUCUUGAGGAUUUGCUGGGUAUUUCCGAGUCUCCUGUAUUCAACCUCCGUAUGGCAGGCACUCCGUUCCUCGUUUAUCAGCAAGUAGUUGGCCGCAGAUGGUGGCAAUGCAUCUCCGACAAGGUUGCUGGUGUAUUCUAGACCCAAUUGCACUCUCGUUCUAUGGAUUUGGGUCCUGAAUGCAAAUCUACAAGGAUUGCUUUGUAUUUUUUAUUUUCUUUUUGAGUCCUUGAUGGAGUGUUGUAACCUUUUUUAUGAUAAUGAAAGCCAGCUGGGACUUUCUGGUCCCUUCCCUUGUUUAAAAUAAAACAUGGCUUGAUCACAAUGUCCUAAUAGGAACGGAUCUCACUGGCCUAAUAAUCUGAAC